AGCUUUGCGCAGUGGCAGUAUCGUAGCCAAUGAGGUUUAUCCGAGGCGCGAUUAUUGCUAAUUGAAAACUAGUAGGUAGUAUAGC
rnacentral:snRNA from 11 species